rnacentral:rRNA from 1 species
CAGUCGCCGCGGAAUACGUAGGUGGCAAGCGUUAUCCAGAAUUAUUGGGCGUAAAGCGCGCGUAGGCGGUUUCUUAAGUCUGAUGUGAAAGCCCACGGCUCAACCGUGGAGGGUCAUUGGAAACUGGGAAACUUGAGUGCAGAAGAGGAAAGUGGAAUUCCAUGUGUAGCGGUGAAAUGCGCAGAGAUAUGGAGGAACACCAGUGGCGAAGGCGACUUUCUGGUCUGUAACUGACGCUGAUGUGCGAAAGCGUGGGGAUCAAACAGGAUUAGAUACCCCAGUAGUCCCUGUCUCUUAUACA